rnacentral:rRNA from 1 species
CCUACGGGCGGCUGCAGUGGGGAAUAUUGGACAAUGGGCGAAAGCCUGAUCCAGCCAUGCCGCGUGUGUGAAGAAGGCCUUCGGGUUGUAAAGCACUUUCAGUGGGGAAGAAAGCCUUGGGGCUAAUACCCUCGAGGAAGGACAUCACCCACAGAAGAAGCACCGGCUAACUCCGUGCCAGCAGCCGCGGUAAUACGGAGGGGUGCGAGCGUUAAUCGGAAUUACUGGGCGUAAAGCGCGCGUAGGCGGUCUGAUAAGCCGGUUGUGAAAGCCCCGGGCUCAACCUGGGAACGGCAUCCGGAACUGUCAGGCUAGAGUGCAGGAGAGGAAGGUAGAAUUCCCGGUGUAGCGGUGAAAUGCGUAGAGAUCGGGAGGAAUACCAGUGGCGAAGGCGGCCUUCUGGACUGACACUGACGCUGAGGUGCGAAAGCGUGGGUAGCAAACAGGAUUAGAUACCCGAGUAGUC